rnacentral:misc_RNA from 1 species
UCUCGAAUCGAUUAAUACCUCCAUUUUUUCGAUAGAUGGAACUUACAAGAUUCUCAGGGAUAUACUUAAAAAAAAAUCAAGAAUGAAAAAUUGCACUAGUAUAUCAAUUUUAAUAAGAAAAUUUCUAUGUGUUGAUUAAAUUAGUGAAUAAUUUUGUAAUUCCAGUAUUUUGUGUUGGAUGAUGCAUCAUUUCCUAACCUAUCUUUCUUUAAGCUGUUAGAAUUUCUUAGUUUGACGUUUAGAGUGAUCAGUGAUAACAAUGGCAAGAUUUCUUACGUGGAAAUGUCUUCUUUUAUUAGUUAUAAUACAAAUUGUCAAUGCCAAAAGAAUCAAGGAUAUGAUUUAUAUGUCAAUUGAUGGUGCUGCUGGUUGUUUUAGAAGACACAAUGGAACACAUCAAUUUGGUUGUUCAUCAAGUAGAUCUGGUAGUGUAGGAGUAAUACAUUUAAUAGAACAAGAAGAUGAUGUCAGAUGGUUGGAAACUAAAGCAACUGCAGGCCCAUAUACUGCAGUCCUACCAUUUUCAAUGUUUACCAGAGAUGUUCUUUUACGUUUGAAAAAUACUAACAAUAUCAAUGGCGUUCUAUUGGCAAGAAAUACUAGUCAAGAAUAUCCAGAUUUUUAUUCACCAGAAGAUACCUGUCCAAACAGAUACUCAAAUUAUAAAAAGUGUAACGAUCAACGUCCAUGGAAUCCUCAUGGAUCAUCAAUUUUAUUAGAAGACUGGCCAUUUCCCAUGUUUUAUAUGGAGAAUCAAACACUUUUGGAAGCCAUAAAGUCUUGUUUUUGGAAUCACAAUGCUCACGAUCUUGAAAAUCAAAGUGAACGUUCAUUGUGCGCAUUGGAAAUGAAAUCAUUCAUGUUUUCUGCUAUUAAUUCUGAUUCUUGUAUAAAACGUAGCGACUUUUAUUUAAAUAUCAAUCCAACAUCAUUCUGUGAUCCACUUGGAGAUAGAAAUAUACAUUGGCCAUUAGCACCAUUAAAUUCUGAUUCUAAUUCUGUAAUAAUGGUUACCUCCAGAAUAGAUGCAUCUUCUAUGUUUGAUGGAAUAUCUCCUGGAGCUUUAAGUACAAUAACAGGAAUGGUUUCAUUACUAGCUACUGCUGCUUACUUGCAUUCUUUAAAACCAGUUAUCAAAAAUACAAAUGUUGUUUUUACUCUUCUUAAUGGAGAAGCUUUUGACUAUAUAGGUUCCAGUCGUUUGGUUUAUGAUUUAAAAGAAGGUCAUUUUAAUGCUCUCGGUGGAAUCAAUUUAAAACUCAAUGAAAUUUUAACUGUAAUCGAACUUAGUCAAUUAUCCAAAGGAGAUGCAUUUUUGCAUGUUAGCAAUAAUAAAACUAAUCCAAUGAUAAAUCAAUUAAGUGAAAAGUUACCAGCUAAAGUAUUGAGUAAUAGUGUUCCACCUACAUCUGUGCAAAGCUUUCUAGAAAUAGAACCAAGUCUUACCACCAUCGUUCUAACUAAUUAUCCAGAUCAAUUUAUCAAUAAUUAUUAUAACAGCAUUUUAGACAAUGCUAAGAGUCUUCAUUUCAACAGUAAUAUUUCAAGUGAUCUUGUACCAAGUUUAACAAAUAUAAGCAUCACUUUGGCAGAGACUUUGUAUCACAGUGUUACAAACGAAACAGCUCCAAGUGGAGAUGUAAAUCGUAUCGAACAUAUUAUCUCGGAAAUGUUGUCUUGUUAUUUAGAAAGUGCAAAAUGUAAUCUAUUUCAUGCAGCAUCGUCACCAGGAACCAAAUUGGCCGAUCAAAUUUUACCUUUGUACGUUAGUGUACAUAGAGUACCUAACACCGUUACAAUUUUAACUGGUCAACUUUUUGCUCUGUUAACUGGCGACAAAUUAGAUAUGAAUGAAACAGAGUGUUACGAGCAUCAUUACGCAUGGAUGGGUGGUUAUGAUUUAACAGGAAUUUGUAUAAAUUCAACAGUAAAUUAUAGUAUAGCUUUAAGUCCAGCAUUCAUCAUCCAUAAUUACGAUAUGAAAUCUGGGAUAUUUUCAACAUGGACAGAAUCUAUCUGGCAAAUGUUAAGUGUCAGAAUGUUUUUAAAACCUUCAGCAGCAACUGAACGACUUAGCAUGAUUCUUGGCAGUAUUGUGACUAGCACAUCAUUUAUCUUAGUAUGGUUUAUUAAUUCCAAGGCUGAUAUAUUAUUUAAUUCCAGGUGAUAAAACAAUGAGAGCUGUUGAUUGCUAGGGAUACGCUGCGGACCACAUAUCAAUGACCAGAUUUGUCGUCUUCUGUAACGUUCAUAUAAAUGAAAUCUUGCAUCGGUUAUAUUAAAAGAAUGCAAUUUAGUUGAAGAAAAGGGGGACAGGUGGGGGAGGAGGAGGAGGAGGGGGGGUCUGGUCUUUUGUGUACAACACCUUCUUUUCAUGUAGUACAAUUUGAAAAAUACUUAUAUAUAUAUAUAAAAAA